AUUGAGUCCAAAACUUGGGGAACGUCAUAAUAUUGUGGGAGGAGUCAUUUGGUGGGUUUUGAGUGAAAUCUAAUCUCUAGAACUAUACAAUACACCAACCACCCCAUUUCAGAACGAACUUCGUAGGAACCUGAAUUGUCCGAUUUCAAGGACCAAUCGAUAUCGGAUUGAGUCCAAAACUUGGGGAACAUCAUCAUAUUGUGGGAGGAGUCAUUUGGUGGGUUUUGAGUGAAAUCUAAUCUCUAGAACUAUACAAUACACCAACCACCCCAUUUCAGAACGAAC
rnacentral:lncRNA from 1 species